AGUGAACGCUGGCGGCGUGCCUAAUACAUGCAAGUCGAACGAAGUGGCGCACGGGUGAGUAAUAUAUAGUUAAUCUGCCCUACACAGAGGAACAACAGUUGGAAACGACUGCUAAUACCUCAUAGUGUAGGAUGAGACUAUAUCGUAUCAGCUAGUUGGUAAGGUAAUGGCUUACCAAGGCUAUGACGCGUAACUGGUCUGAGAGGAUGAUCAGUCACAUUGGAACUGAGACACGGUCCAAACUCCUACGGGAGGCAGCAGUGGGGAAUCUUCCGCAAUUGACGAAAGUCUGACGAGGCAACGCCGCGUGGGUGAUGACGGCCUUCGGGUUGUAAAGCUCUAUUAAUCGGGACGCGGUACCGGAAUAGAAAGCCACGGCUAACUACGUGCAGCAGCCGCGGUAAUUC
rnacentral:rRNA from 1 species